ACGGCGAGUGAAGCGGCAAAAGCUCAAAUUUGAAAUCUGGUACCUUCGGUGCCCGAGUUGUAAUUUGGAGAGGGCAACUUUGGGGCCGUUCCUUGUCUAUGUUCCUUGGAACAGGACGUCAUAGAGGGUGAGAAUCCCGUGUGGCGAGGAGUGCGGUUCUUUGUAAAGUGCCUUCGAAGAGUCGAGUUGUUUGGGAAUGCAGCUCUAAGUGGGUGGUAAAUUCCAUCUAAAGCUAAAUAUUGGCGAGAGACCGAUAGCGAACAAGUACAGUGAUGGAAAGAUGAAAAGAACUUUGAAAAGAGAGUGAAAAAGUACGUGAAAUUGUUGAAAGGGAAGGGCAUUUGAUCAGACAUGGUGUUUUGUGCCCUCUGCUCCUUGUGGGUAGGGGAAUCUCGCAUUUCACUGGGCCAGCAUCAGUUUUGGUGGCAGGAUAAAUCCAUAGGAAUGUAGCUUGCCUCGGUAAGUAUUAUAGCCUGUGGGAAUACUGCCAGCUGGGACUGAGGACUGCGACGUAAGUCAAGGAUGCUGGCAUAAUGGUUAUAUGCCGCCCGUCUUGAAACACG
rnacentral:rRNA from 1 species